AAAAAGACAAAUCCUAGAUUUUCGUAUCCAACGUUUAACUAUCCGUCUUAUAUGAAUUUUUUUAUAAUUAUUAUUUUUAUUGUUAGAUGAUAAAUCAUGAUUAAUACUUUAUGCGUGACUUAUCCUUUUAAUUUUUUUAUAAUUUUUUUAAAUAAGAUGAACGGUCAAACAUUGAACAUAGAAAUCCAGAGUU
rfam:Oryza sativa Japonica Group DNA, chromosome 12, cultivar: Nipponbare, complete sequence.